UGGUCAGUAGGUUGGUCGUGCCACCGGUACGUACUGGUCUCACUGAUUCCUCCUUCCCGAAGAACCGUAAUGCCAUUAAUUUGGUGCUGCGGGGAAACAGGACUGUUACUUUGAAAAAAUUAGAGUGUUUAAAGCAAGCUAACGCUUGAAUACAUUAGCAUGGAAUAAUGAAAUAGGACGAUCGAUCCUAUUUUGUUGGUUUCUAGGAUUGACGUA
rnacentral:rRNA from 1 species